ACUCCUACGGGAGGCAGCAGUGGGGAAUAUUGCACAAUGGGCGUAAGCCUGAUGCAGCGACGCCGCGUGAGGGAUGACGGCCUUCGGGUUGUAAACCUCUUUCAGCAGGGAAGAAGCGAAAGUGACGGUACCUGCAGAAGAAGCGCCGGCUAACUACGUGCCAGCAGCCGCGGUAAUACGUAGGGCGCAAGCGUUGUCCGGAAUUAUUGGGCGUAAAGAGCUCGUAGGCGGUUUGUCGCGUCUGCUGUGAAAACCUAAGGCUCAACCUUGGGCUUGCAGUGGGUACGGGCAGACUAGAGUGCGGUAGGGGUGACUGGAAUUCCUGGUGUAGCGGUGGAAUGCGCAGAUAUCAGGAGGAACACCGAUGGCGAAGGCAGGUCACUGGGCCGCAACUGACGCUGAGGAGCGAAAGCAUGGGGAGCGUACAGGAUUAGAUACCCUGGUAGUCCAUGCCGUAAACGUUGGGCACUAGGUGUGGGGCUCAUUCCACGAGUUCCGUGCCGCAGCUAACGCAUUAAGUGCCCCGCCUGGGGAGUACGGCCGCAAGGCUAAAACUCAAAGAAAUUGACGGGGGCCCGCACAAGCGGCGGAGCAUGCGGAUUAAUUCGAUGCAACGCGAAGAACCUUACCAAGGCUUGACAUACACCGGAAAAGUGCAGAGAUGUGCUCCCCGCAAGGUCGGUGUACAGGUGGUGCAUGGUUGUCGUCAGCUCGUGUCGUGAGAUGUUGGGUUAAGUCCCGCAACGAGCGCAACCCUCGUCCCAUGUUGCCAUCGGGUUAUGCCGGGGACUCAUGGGAGACUGCCGGGGUCAACUCGGA
rnacentral:rRNA from 1 species